rnacentral:rRNA from 1 species
AUGACCUUUCAAAUGUACCCCGCGAUAGAUGGUGUUGUGGUGUUGUGUAGUCUCGGUUGCCUGUCGCCUUGCGAUUCACGCCGAUGGUGCAUUGUCAUGGUUUGGUCUCGGCUGGCUGAUGCGGUUCGAUCUCCUCGGCGCUGCUCCUUGUUGUGUUGUCUUGUGUUGUUUUUAACUUUAUCUCAUUUUCUUCUGCUCCUGGUUCAUUUGAAUCUAUCUUGUAAUACGAUGCAAAUGGAAUCUCCAACGCGGACUCCUAAACCGCCUGCAUCCGUCUGGACCAGGAGGCUUUGUGGGCGUCCAGGAUGCUGCCACGCACGCGUCAACCAUCCAGGUCCCACCCAAAACCCUCAUGCCAGAAAAAUACUCUCCGCGCGAAGCGGUUGCCGCGCAUUCAUGCCAGUCAGCGCCGCUCCAGGGUGGACGUGA